GGGUUGUGGCUCAGUGAUAGAGCGCUUGCCUUGCUUGCUUGAGGCCCUGGGUUCCAUCCUCAGCCCCA
rnacentral:tRNA from 1 species